AGUGAACGCUGGCGGUAGGCCUAACACAUGCAAGUCGAACGGCAGCACAGUAAGAGCUUGCUCUUACGGGUGGCGAGUGGCGGACGGGUGAGGAAUACAUCGGAAUCUACUUUUUCGUGGGGGAUAACGUAGGGAAACUUACGCUAAUACCGCAUACGACCUACGGGUGAAAGCAGGGGAUCUUCGGACCUUGCGCGAUUGAAUGAGCCGAUGUCGGAUUAGCUAGUUGGCGGGGUAAAGGCCCACCAGGGCGACGAUCCGUAGCUGGUCUGAGAGGAUGAUCGGCCAACCUGAAACGGAGACACGGCCCAGACUCCUACGGAGGGAAGCAGGGGGAAAUAUGGGACAAUGGGCGCAGCCUGAUCCAGCCAUACCGCGUGGGUGAAGAAGGCCUUCGGGUUGUAAAGCCCUUUUGUUGGGAAAGAAAAGCAGCAGGUUAAUACCCCGCUGUUCUGACGGUACCCAAAGAAUAAGCACCGGCUAACUUCGUG
rnacentral:rRNA from 1 species